CUGAAGACGGAGGGAACUUGCCGAGGGUCGAAGACCAAGGAGCAACCGGAAGCUCCGGCAGCGAUCGCGCAGCAUGGAAACGCAUCC
rnacentral:SRP_RNA from 1 species